CACGUAGUUAGCCGGGGCUUCUUAGUCGGGUACCGUCUUUCUUCUUCCCCGCUGAUAGAGCUUUACAUACCGAGAUACUUCCUCACUCACGCGGCGUUGCUGCGUCACGGGUUUCCCCCAUUGCGCAAUAUUCCCCACUGCUGCCUCCCGUAGGAGUUUGGGCCGUGUCUCAGUCCCAAUGUGGCCGGCCACCCUCUCAGGUCGGCUACUGAUCGUCGCCUUGGUGGGCCUUUACCCCGCCAACCAGCUAAUCAGACGCGGGCCCAUCCCAUACCACCGGAGUUUUUCGCCCGGGGCCAUGCGGCCUCGCGCGCUUACGCGGUAUUAGCGGUCAUUUCUAACCGUUAUCCCCCGGUAUGGGGCAGGUUACCCACCGCGUUACUCACCCGUCCGCCGCUAGUCACUCCCGCUUCCUUCCGAAAACUUACCGCGUGAGCGCUUCGCUCGACUUGCAUGUGUUAAGCACGCCGCCAGCGUUCAUCCUGACGCCAGGAUACAACUACU
rnacentral:rRNA from 1 species